GCGUCGGUGGGCAACGGUUAGCAUGCGCUUCCGAAUAGAGUGAGAUCCGGGUUCGAAUCCCGCCUGACGCA